rnacentral:rRNA from 1 species
UACGUAGGCAGCAAGCGUUGUUCGGAUUCAUUGGGCGUAAAGGGUGCGUAGGCGGCGGGGCAAGUCAGGGGUGAAAUCCCGGGGCUCAACCCUGGAACUGCACUUGAUACUGCUUUGCUAGAGUACUGGAGAGGAGAUUGGAAUUUACGGUGUAGCAGUGAAAUGCGUAGAUAUCGUAAGGAAGACCAGUGGCGAAGGCGAAUCUCUGGACAGUUACUGACGCUGAGGCACGAAGGCCAGGGGAGCAAACGGG